GAUGAACGCUAGCGGCAGGCUUAACACAUGCAAGUCGAGGGGUAGAAGUUGCUUGCAACUUUGAGACCGGCGCACGGGUGCGUAACGCGUAUGCAACCUACCUUUUACAGAGGGAUAGCCCAGAGAAAUUUGGAUUAAUACCUCAUAGUAUAUAACCUUCGCAUGUUGGUUAUAUUAAAGUUCCAACGGUAAAAGAUGGGCAUGCGUCCUAUUAGCGAGUUGGUGUGGUAACGGCACACCAAGGCGACGAUAGGUAGGGGUCCUGAAAGGGAGAUCCCGCACACUGGUACUGAGACACGGACCAGACUCCUACGGGAGGCAGCAGUGAGGAAUAUUGGACAAUGGGCGCAAGCCUGAUCCAGCCAUGCCACGUGCAGGAAGAAGCAUCAAUGGUGUGUAAACUGCUUUUGUACAGGAAGAAACACCCCUUCGUGAAGGGACUUGACGGUACUGUAAGAAUAAGGAUCGGCUAACUCCGUGCCAGCCGCCGCCGUAAAAC
rnacentral:rRNA from 1 species